rnacentral:rRNA from 1 species
UACGUAGGGUCCGAGCGUUGUCCGGAAUUAUUGGGCGUAAAGGGCUCGUAGGCGGUCUGUUGCGUCGGGAGUGAAAACUUACAGCUUAACUGUGAGCGUGCUUUCGAUACGGGCAGACUUGAGGCAUUCAGGGGAGAACGGAAUUCCUGGUGUAGCGGUGAAAUGCGCAGAUAUCAGGAGGAACACCGGUGGCGAAGGCGGUUCUCUGGGCCGAUACUGACGCUGAGGAGCGAAAGCGUGGGGAGCGAACAGG